rnacentral:rRNA from 1 species
AUUGAACGCUGGCGGCAGGCCUAACACAUGCAAGUCGAACGAGUGGCGGACGGGUGAGUAAUGUCUGGGACACUGCCUGAUGGAGGGGGAUAACUACUGGAACCGGUAGCUACUACCGCAUACCAUCGGAUGUUCCCAGAUGGGAUUAGCUAGUAGGUGGGGUAAAGGCUAACCUAGGCGACGAUCCCGAGCUGGUCUGCGCGGAUGACCAGCCAAAUUGGAACUGAGACACGGGCCAGAAUCCUACGGGAGGCAGAAGUGGGGAAUAUUGCACAAUGGGCGCAAGCCUGAUGCAGCCAUGACGCGUGUAGGAAGAAGGCCUUCGGGUUGGAAAGUACUUUCAGCGGGGAGGCGUUACCCGAAGAAGAAGCACCGGCUAACUCCGUGCCAGCAGCCGCGGUAAUAC